AGAAGAUGGUGGCUGAUUUUUGGUGUGUUGGGUGUCGUGAUGGAUUGUGCGUAUGAGAAUGGCGUACUGAGACCAAUAAAAUAAACUACCAGAAGCAAUGACGGGAUGUAAAUACAGUUAAUGGCUUUGCUGUAGAAAUACAGGGUCAAAAAUCGGGGUGGGAUUUGAUGAAUUCACCGUUCGACGUCUCCACAGAGUCGAGCAGCGAGAGCGAGGAGCAAAGCAGCGAGGAGUCGGACAAGACGUCCAGCGACUCGGGGAAGAGCUCCAGUGGAUCUGAGGAGACCUCCAGUGGAUCAGACUCCCAACAGAAGAAGAAGAAGAAGACCAAGAAGGCGCCGCAGAAGAAAAGCAAGACGGCCGCUGCUUCCAGUGACUCGGAUGAAAACGGAAACGGACCCGUAGUUAAAGACAGCAGCUCGUCAGAUGAAAGCUCCUCCGGCUCCGAGGACGACUCCGACUCGGACGCCGCCGCCGCCCCCACGACGCAGCAGCAGAAGAAGAGCGACAGGAAGCCCGGCCCUAAGGUGAAGUCCGAGGUGGAGGUCUCCUUACUGGAUCUAGUUGACUUUUCUCCUGCACCCACAAACGCACCAAAGGGCCCGGUCGUCUCCCCGUCCCUUCUGUCCGACCUGGAGGGCCUGUCCCUGUCCAACACCUCCUCCACCAUGCAGGUAGGUG
ensembl:lncRNA